GCUCCGGUGGCCUAGUGGUUAGAGCGUCCGCUUCGGAUGCGGAAGGUCGUGGGUUAGAACCCCGGCCCAGUCAUAGCA